GACGAACGCUGGCGGCGUGCUUAACACAUGCAAGUCGAACGGAAAGGCCCAGCUUUUGUGGGGUGCUCGAGUGGCGAACGGGUGAGUAACACGUGAGUAACCUGCCCUUGACUUUGGGAUAACUUCAGGAAACUGGGGCUAAUACCGGAUAGGAGCUCAUGCUGCAUGGUGGGGGUUGGACAGUUUCGGCGGUUGGGGAUGGACUCGCGGCUUAUCAGCUUGUUGGUGUGGUAGUGCCUUACCAAGGCUUUGACGGGUAGCCGGCCUGAGAGGGUGACCGGCCACAUUGGGACUGAGAUACGGCACAGACUCCUACGGGAGGCAGCAGUGGAGAGUAGUGCACAACGGGAGGAAGCCUGAUGCAGCAACGCCGCGUGCGGGAUGACGGCCUUCGUGUUGGAAAGCGCUUUCGCCUGUGACGAAGCGUGAGUGACGGUAAUGGGUAAAGAAGCACCGGCUAACUACGUG
rnacentral:rRNA from 1 species